UUAACAUGUCCAUUAGUUGAUAGAGUCAUUUGUGACCUAUACGUAUGGUUCGGGUUGAGAUCCAAGGAGCUCGAGAUGUCGGACUUGAUUGCAACUUGAAAAUAGUGCAAUAUUUUGUUGGUGCCAAUUAUGACUUACGCGGUUGCGGACCUGGAGGUCGCAAUCGCGGAGUGAAAAUGUGGAUGGACUGAGGGUUAGGCAAAAUGCCUUCGUGAUCACUUCGGGUGGUCGCGAUUGCGAAAAAAGAUUUUGGAGUUGAUUGAGUUUGAUCUUUGCAAUCGCGUGAGGAGGUCUGCGAUUGCCUAUAAAGCCUAACCUGGGUUUUGGACUUUGACAAAUUUCAGACUUCAUUCUUUGCCUUUUUGGAGAGGUGGAGCUCGUGGGUGAUUCCAAAAAUGGAUGGAUUUCAGCCUAAAUCAUUAAGGUAUUGAUUCUCUAAUACUCUAUGAUGAAUAUACUUGAUUUUGGUGCAAUCUUGACCACAAAAUCAUGAGAUUGAAAGAGUUAAUUGAGAAUUUUUGACAUAGUUUCCUAAUAUGAUUACAAUCAUAUACCUUAUUUUAAGUAUUUGCGUCCAAAUUAGUGUUGUUAACAUGUCCAUUAGUUGAUAGAGUCAUUUGUGACCUAUACGUAUGGUUCGGGUUGAGAUCCAAGGAGCUCGAGAUGUCGGACUUGAUUGCAACUUGAAAAUAGUGUAAUAUUUUGUUGGUGCCAAUUAUGACUUACACAGUUGCGGACCUGGAGGUCGCGAUCGCGGAGUGAAAAUGUGGAUGGACCGAGGGUUAGGCAAAAUGCCUUCGUGAUCACUUCGGGUGGUCGCGAUUGCAAAAAAUGAUUUUGGAGUUGAUUGAGUUUGAUCUUUGCAAUCGCGUGAGGAGGUCUGCGAUUGCCUAGAAAGCCUGACCUGGGUUUUGGACUUUGACAAAUUUCAGACUUCAUUCUUAGCCUUUUUGGAGAGGUGGAGCUCGUGGGUGAUUCCAAAAAUUGAUGGAUUUCAGCCUAAAUCAUUAAGAGAUACACGAAAGGGACACAAGAAUGGAAAAACAAGACGAGGAUGCCCAGAAAAUUCACCAUAGGCGGGCACUAUUGGUACUCCAAAACAUGAUCAAAGGAUGAGCUAUGGAAUGACAACCCAAUGCAUUUCGGUACUUCAACUUCACAUAUACGGACUCAUACAAAGUUUUCUACAUAUCAACGCUGUAAAUCACAACCAUACUUCCUCAAACUAUACUGGUUCAAUUACGUGCAAAACUGUUGCACAAUGGAAACCAGUAAGGAUACCCGUGGUUGUGCUGUGUUUUAUCUUGAUGUAUGUGUACUUCUGGAUCCUAGACAUCAUGAGGAAGAAAUAAUGACAUGGGAUUAGAUUGGUAGAUGCAAGGAGAUAGAACAUAUGAAACUAGAAAAUGGCAAGACAGAAUACUUUGCGAUACAACAUGCUACCAGAUAUGUGGAUGAAAACAGGAGAUGCACAUACAAGGAAGAUGCAGAUUCAGCCUGAAAAACGAAAAUUGUGGCUACAGAACUGGAUUUAAUAUGUUCAUGUCUUUUACGGCGAAGGGAAGAUGGCAAGAGUUGCAACAAAAGAAGAUUACAUAUGGGCAUCAAUUGCGAAGAAUUAGCAUGGCUAUUUUUUAUAACUCAGUUUAAUUGCUUUAUUAGAUUGCAUAUUCUAAUAUCAGUGUCGAGUACAUCGUUCAACAUUGAUAAUUGAAACUGUGUACUCGUCAAAGUUUAUUUCUUUCAUCUUGUAAAACCUCAAUACAUUUCAUUUUGUUUUUAAGUUAUAUAUACAAAAACUAACCCUAUGCA